GUAUCCUGGCUCAGGAUGAACGCUAGCGACAGGCUUAACACAUGCAAGUCGAGGGGCAGCAUGAGGUAGCAAUACCUUGAUGGCGACCGGCGCACGGGUGAGUAACGCGUAUGCAACCUGCCCGAUACCGGGGUAUAGCCCAUGGAAACGUGGAUUAACACCCCAUAGUACUUUUAUCCUGCAUGGGAUGUGAGUUAAAUGUUCAAGGUAUCGGAUGGGCAUGCGUCCUAUUAGUUAGUUGGG
rnacentral:rRNA from 1 species